rnacentral:rRNA from 1 species
AUAAUAAAUUGUUUUUUAAUUAAGAACUAGAAUGAAUGAUUGGACGAGAAAUUAACUGUCUCAUAAUUAAUAUUUAUUUGAAUUUAAUUUUUAAGUUAAAAAGCUUAAAUUUUAUUAGAGGACGAGAAGACCCUAUAGAAUUUUAUAAUUAAUUAAUUUUUAAAAUUAAAAUAGAAUUUUAUAUUAAGUAAUUAUUAUAUUGGGGUGAUGGAAAAAUUAUUUUAAUUUUUUUAUUAUUAUAACAAUAAUGAUUGAAUUUUUGAUCCUAUUAUAUAGAUUAUUAGAAUAAAUUACCUUAGGGAUAACAGCGUUAUUUUUUUUAGAAGUUCAUAUUAAUAAAAAAGAUUGC